rnacentral:lncRNA from 1 species
GUUUUUAUUGGUUUGGUUUUUAUUUUAUUUUAGACAAUCCAUAAGAAUUAAUCUGGAUACAGCGAAACAGAUUCCCAGGUGGCUUAAUUUAGCAUCACUCCAAUGUCUUGAAAUGGGCAGCACUAACUUGUUACGCCAACUGUAAACGUGGCCCUUCAUGUCUUGUAUCAAUUUUCUUUUAAAUAACAAUCACACCAGCCCACAGUGAUAUUUAGCAUUACUCAAUCCUUGUAAAAAUGACAAACUUUACCUCCCCGCGAAGUUGCCUGUGAUUAGUCACACGUGGCAGUGUUACCAAGAGGCGACGCUGAGCAGUGCCCCGUGAGCUUCGCUUAAAUCUGGCUGUUAUGUCGGGCUGUACCUGUGCUACCCCCCUGAACCCUUAUUGUCAAGGGAAGCAAUUUCACAUCCUGCCUACUAAGUGAAGAGAUUGUGAAAGUUAUCUUCAUUGUUUUGAGAGAACAGAAUUUAUUCCCUUCAAAACAAGUGACCAGCUUUGCCUUAAUCAAGCGCACGUAUCCAGCCUUCAGCGAGGCAGGCUGGAGCCGAAGCCUUUCUGUUUCAUCCCGUUUCAAUCCGGUGUGUUGUCAGCUGAAACUGGCUCUUUUUAAUCUUUUGUAGUAAAUGUCAGGUGAGGAACUGACAGUUGUGAAGGUAACAAUUUUCCAUUUAUCCGCAGCCUGUGUAAUACAUGAGUGGAUACUUACUGCCUGUGAAUGACCAUCGCUGUCAAUCCAACUUAAAAUCCGUUCUCUUCUGUGCUUCUGGAGGGAUGCUGCCUGUGUAAUUUGUCUGUAGCUUAUAAAGGAGAGAGCAGCCGUGGAUUGAAGUCAGCAUUCAGUUUAUUAGUUGUAUUUUAAAUAUUUGAUCACAGUGAGGCUAAAAAUUCAACACCACUGUAACAUGGUAUGAUGCCUUAAAAUGCCUGUAGUAUUUGAGGUAGAUCAGAUGGAAAAAAAUAAUUGUUUGUGAGAAAAUGAUAAUUGCACGUAUAUCGCACUUCAAGCCGAAAUAUCAUAUAUUAUUUACAGUCUGGGGAAGAAAUAUGAGACUCCAGAUAAGAGGGAGAGGAGAGAUUAAUUUCAUCUCUUUGGUAAACACCCGCAGCAGCUGGGUGAGGCGUAAACAGGGGCCGUACCUGGCCAGAAGCAGAGCCUGCCGCGCGGACAGACGAGGGGUGGAGACGGCAGCUGGGAUCUGCAGCAGAGAAUCUGCACCUAGAUGUGCACCUGCCUGCGUGGCUCUUCCUUCCCUGCGUGCUGCCGAUGGGAUGGCAACGGCCACGCUCUUGGAACACGAAGGUGUGUGAAGAAACAAAGCUGGAGUAAGGGCAUGAAAAGGCAUCCUGGGGGAAAUAGGUCAGUCCUUUAUUUACCGUAGUGCUUUAGCUCUGAUUAUGCAAGGAGCUUAAUGCUGCUUCAGGUAGAGUAGGGCCUUGUAUUUCUAUGCAACACCUGCAGCGGCGGCGUGCUCUGCCAUUCCUCUGCCCGUGUUCCCAUUGAAUAAUAAGAACCAGGUUUUGGAAAGUACGCCAAACAUCUGGUAAAAUCAGGGCUCUACAAGUUUAUUCGAAAAUAUUCGUGAGCGUCACAGAUUUGCCAGGUGGUGAGCACUGUUGAAAAUCUGUCCCUAAUUUACUAUGUAAAUUAGGCCAUUAGGUUAAAUUGAUCUGCUUGUAAGUUAGCAUGCUACCCAGUAUGAGCUACAGGGGUAGAAGCCGUCCUGGUAAGACAUACACAUUUGACUAAAUUGUAUUUACAUUCCCUGCUCUCUUUAUGUGGUGGUCAUCCCCCUGUGAGUCAUCCCAAUACGCUCCAGGUUAUGUGGGAAUCUCGUCGUGGCAAAAUGUUGAUUUAAUGAGCUUGGAACAAGAGACACACAACAUCAAAAGCUGGGACACCCAGGGAGUAAGUGACUGGAAAUGAGAGUACAUCAUCUUUAAAACAAAAACAAACAAACAAAAAACCAGGACAAAUAUUUAUCUGCUGUUUUGUUAAAGGAUUCCUCUUCUCAGACACGAAGAAAUCACUGCAAGACAAACAUGCUAGCAGCUACUGUCCAUGUUAGCUCCUUUUUGUGCUCGGUAUGUCAAGGAAAGAAAAAAAGAUUUAUGACUCAUUGUUUUCCAAGGUUGCUGCUUCCUCUGCAGAUAUUUACAGGUUGAUUUUUAGAAAAACAGUUUACAAACUGCCCACUGAAUUUCCAUUUUUAUUGCAGGGUCAUAUUAUUACUGCCUAAUCCAUCAUAUAUCACACAGGCUUUGCACUUAAUGCUCGAUUAAGGAAAAAAAUGCAUGGUUAGCUACUCAUAAAUUAUUGUGUCUUCUCACCGUAUAUCUUCAAGAUAAUGCAGAUGAUACAACCUGUAUGUUGGUAAGGCUUGCGUUAUUCAACCCCACUGCUCACUUGGGGACACUUUUCUCUAGGUGUUAACAUCCCCUAGUGUAAACAGGCUUCUCUUUUCCCUUCUAGAAACACGGCUGUUGGUCUCAGAGAGCUCUAGAAGUCUUCUUUGGAGCAGGAACCUGAAAUUUUGUAACCGUUUUUAAAUAGCCUAAAAGCAGCCUCGGGGUCAUACUGUCACUUUUUAAAAUAUCGCAUUGAACAUUUAACACCUGGUAAGUACUGAAAGUGUCACUUUGAAAACAGAAAGUUAUUUUCAUUUGGAGAAUGUUCCAAAGCUUGACAGUGUUUCCCACACAUUCGUACUGUCUUCCAACUGGAAAAACUUGGAAAAUAGUAGUGAAGUGCAUGUGUGGAAAGCUCAUUCUUCAAAAGCCUGAAAACAUGUUUGGAAGCAAUCUUUUUCCAAGUACAGUUGAAAUUAAACACUUAUUUUUCUAAUAUAAAAAAUACUUCUGUGAAAACUUCCUGACCUCUUCAAGUUCUCCUACCAAUGAUGAGACACAGAGGGGAGAGAAAAAUUGCUUUUCCCAUUUCCUCAAACAGCAAGCAAAAAGGCUAUAGGAAGUGACAUUAAAACAGUGAACGUUUCAUUAGAAUUGCAAAGACGUGGAUUUAAACAAUAGGAAACGAGGGAACAGAGGCUCCCAUUUCGUUUUAUUCAUCACUUAUGCCCCAGCUGUCUUUGCCAUGGGCCCAUUUUCUUUUGCAUUGCCUAUUGCACAGGUACUUACAUCAAGGAUAAGUAUGUGUAAAAUACAUAAAACAUUGCUGCUCUUCCUUGGAAGCAUUUUAAGUUGACUGCAGAAGAGUGAGUAACUGCAUACAUCUUAGGGAACAAUGUGGUGGGCUCCUGCGUUCCAGCUGUUAUCUUUUUUAUUGUAUUUUUAACUUGUUUGCCUGCAGUUGCGUGUUUACACCAUGCUGUCAAAAGGCCCAGCAGUGGAGCGGUGGCGUUCUCAAUGGAGCUGUGGCAGACGUAGCUAAAUUACCGGUGUCGAGAACUUUUGGCUUUUUACAGUAGUGAAUGCGUUUGUCCUGAGCACUUAGCAAAAAUAGCAUCUGGGAGGCCAGUUGGAAGCAAGGAAGAAGGGGAGGACCUUUACUGCAUGUGAAUAAAAUUGGUAGCUGAAAGGCAAAAAUCACGUUAGAUUGGCAGCUCCCACCCUCCACGACUGUCCCAACAGCUCAGUGACACUCGUCUGCUCAGCUCUGCUCCAGAAGCCGUGGUUUUGGAUCCUGUUGUUGCUGGUGAGGUUAAUGUAUGGUUCGUGGUAGUGGGAAGUGAGCUCUUGAAUGUUCCCCGGAAGGUUUAGCAUUUGUUUUCAAAAUAGAGGGAAAAACAAAAGGGAAUGCUGCUAAAAUUAUCCCUUGUAUUAUAAACAAAUGCAAACAGCUGUGGGAGCUCUCGCUGGCUUUGCUGCCUGGUCCUAGCUUCAAAAGCAGCCUCAUUCGCUCCACCCUCGACUAUAGGUGUCACUGCGGCGAGUUAAACAAGCUCCAGGAAAUGUCAACAGCAACUGAACACACAAGCUGUGUUGGGAACAGUGUUUGCUGAAUAAAUGACUAAUUUAAUGGCAUCCACUGGAGAAUGGUUUUAUCGGUACCGGUAAUACUCCAGUAUUGCAAAUAAGGGGAGUUUAGGGCUGUAGUAUUAGCAUUUGUUGUCUUAUGUUUUUUUCCUGUAUUGAAAGGGAAUAUUGAAGAACCAUUUCGAUGCAGAACAAUUACAAGGUGGUUUGCAUGGCUGGGAGGCAGGUGAUGGGGAGUGGAUUUGCACGGUGUUACCUUUAUCAUCUGAAAAAGGCAGAACCACGUUGGGAAGUCUGGUGCUUGACCGUAACCCAUGGGGUCUCC